rnacentral:rRNA from 1 species
GAUGAACGCUGGCGGCGUGCCUAAUACAUGCAAGUCGAGCGAACGGACGCUGCGCUUGCUUCUCUGGUGUUAGCGACGGACGGGUGAGUCACACGUGGAUAACCUACCUCUAAGACUGGGAUAACUUCGAGAAAGCGGAGCUCCUACCAGGUAAUAUUUUGAACCGCAUGGUUCAAAAGUUAAAGCCGGUCUUGCUGACCCUUCUAGCUGUCUCCGCGGUGGUUUAGCUAGUUGGUAAGGUAACGGCUUACGAAGGCAACGAUGCAUAGCCGACCUGAGAGGGUGAACGGCGACACUGGAAGUGAGACGCGGUCCAGAGUCCGAGGGGAGGCAGCAGUAGGGAAUCGUCGGCAAUGGGGGGAAGCCUGACGGAGCAACGCCGCGUGAGUGAUGAAGGUCUUCGGAGCGUAAAACUCUGUUAUUAGGGAAGAACAUUUGUGUAAGUAACUGUGCACAUCGUGACGGUACCUAAACAGAAAGCCACGGCUAACUACGUG